rnacentral:rRNA from 1 species
UGGGGAAUAUUGCACAAUGGGCGCAAGCCUGAUGCAGCCAUGCCGCGUGUAUGAAGAAGGCCUUCGGGUUGUAAAGUACUUUCAGCGUGGAGGAAGGGAGUAAAGUUAAUACCUUUGCUCAUUGACGUUACCCGCAGAAGAAGCACCGGCUAACUCCGUGCCAGCAGCCGCGGUAAUACGGAGGGUGCAAGCGUUAAUCGGAAUUACUGGGCGUAAAGCGCACGUAGGCGGUUUGUUAAGUCAGAUGUGAAAUCCCCGGGCUCAACCUGGGAACUGCAUCUGAUACUGGCAAGCUUGAGUCUCGUAGAGGGGGGUAGAAUUCCAGGUGUAGCGAUGACAUGCGUAGAGAUCUGGAGGAAUAACGGUGGCGAAGGCGGCCACCUGGACGAAGACUGACGCUCAGGUGCGAAAGCGUGGGGAGCAAACAGG